rnacentral:lncRNA from 1 species
GUGGCACCGAGGGCGGCACCGUGGGGACGCCAGGGGGGCACCCCCGGGGGCAGCGGGCGCUGGAACAGGGGGUUGGUGUGGAAAUGGGGCUCCUCGUCCUCCUCCUGGGCUUCGUCAUCCUCAUCUUCAUCAUCUUCAUCAUCCUGGUCUUCAUCAUCCUCAUCUUCAUCAUCAUCUUCAUCUUCAUCAUCAUGGUCUUCGUCAUCCUGGUCUUCGUCAUCCAGGUUCUCACCCAGGUUCUCCUCCACGUUCUCCUUAUCCAGGUUCUCACCCAGGUUCUUCUCACCCAGGUUCUCCUUAUCCAGGUUCUCACCCAGGUUCUUCUCACCCAGGUUCUCACCCAGGUUCUCCUUAUCCAGGGUCUCCUCCUCUUCAUUCUCAUGGGAGAAGCCACCAUGGACAUCACGGUCAUGGUGGUCAUCAUGGUCACGGUGGUCAUGGUGGUCAUUGUGGUCAUCUAGGGCAUUGUGGUCAUCAACGUCAUUGAGGUCAUGGUGGUCAUUGAGGUCAUCAAGGUCAUUUUGGUCAUUGAGGUCAUUGCGGUCAUCAUGGUCAUGGUGGUCAUUGUGGUCAUCGAGGUCAUCUAGGUCAUGGUGGUCAUUGAGGUCAUUGAUGUCAUUGAGGUCAGGGUGGUCAUUGAGGUCAUUGUGGUCACCAUGGUCAUGGUGGUCAGUAUGGUCAUGGUGGUCAUUGAUGUCAUUGAGAUCAAGGUGGUCAUUGAGGUCAUUGUGGUCACCAUGGUCAUGGUGGUCACUUAGAUCAUGGUGGUCACGGUGGUCAUCACGGUCAUCACUGGCCUGGUGGUCGCCAUCGUUGCCGUCACCUUCUUCUUCCUCCUGGCUGAGUCUGGGGACUUGGGGCUUGGGGGAGAUGGGACCAUCCAUGGUGGGACCAUCCGUGGUGGGACCAUCCAUGGUCACAGGUCUGGGGGAGAUGUCCCCAUCCCUGGUCACAGUCCAUGAGGAGAUGUCCCCACCCAUGGACAUGUGGGAGAUGCUCCCAAAGAGGAACUCAAAGCUUUGGUCCAUGGGAACAGCCUGGGGUGGGAUGUCCUCAUCCAUGGAUGCCUGGGAGAUGCCUUCAAACGUGGAUCCAUGGCCUUGGAGCUGCUGGGAGAUGCUCCCGGCCACGGUCAUGGACUUGGGUGGGGUGGACCCAUCUGUGGACACCUGGA